rnacentral:rRNA from 1 species
GACGAACCGAGCGAACGUUGUUCGGAAUCACUGGGCUUAAAGGGCGCGUAGGCGGGCAAUCAAGUCAGUGGUGAAAUCCUGCAGCUCAACUGUAGAACUGCCUCUGAUACUGGUUGUCUCGAGGAAGGUAGGGGUGUGUGGAACUGUUGGUGGAGCGGUGAAAUGCGUUGAUAUCAACAGGAACUCCGGUGGCGAAGGCGACACACUGGACCUUUUCUGACGCUGAGGCGCGAAAGCUAGGGGAGCAAACGGG